rnacentral:lncRNA from 1 species
GUUUAUAAUAGUUAUAAUAUAGGUUUAUAUUAGUUAUACUAUAGGUUUAUGAUAGUUAUAAUAGUACAUUAUAGUUUGUUUCCCUAGAAUGAAACAUAAAAAGAAAAUAUCACUGGAAUUAUACCUGUUAGAGAUUAGGCUGUUUAGAAACAGAUGCGAAAAUGGAGUAUGGUAUGCCAGAUAUUGAUUAGGAAUCCAUAUGUGUGGAAGUGAGAAAAAGAAAUCAAGAUUGGCCAAAGAUAAGUCAAACUGAGGUUCAGGCCUCCAAAGCCUUGGGCAAACUCAUGGGAAACUCUGAAGUGUAUACGGAUAAGUGUUCUAGGGCAACUUACUGACUGGGACUUUAUAUCCUUGGUGCACUCAGUCAUUAGAUUUAAACUGUCCCCAGAAGAGUUUAUUCUUAUGUGAUGGAUGCAGCUUUUGCAGUUGAAACAAUUUAGAUAGGAUUCAAAGGAUGCUGAUAGCAUUCCCAGAAGUUGGGCAAUAGCUCGUUCCUUAAAUAACAAUCUGAUUAGUGCUUCUCCAUGUCCACCACAGCAUGCCAUGCAAAACCAUAUCUCUUCUACACAGUAUUCACAAGUAUUCCCGUUGGUUACUGACCCUG